rnacentral:rRNA from 1 species
AUUGAACGCUGGCGGCAGGCUUAACACAUGCAAGUCGAGCGGUAGCACAAGAGAGCUUGCUCUCUGGGUGACGAGCGGCGGACGGGUGAGUAAUGUCUGGGAAACUGCCUGAUGGAGGGGGAUAACUACUGGAAACGGUAGCUAAUACCGCAUAACGUCGCAAGACCAAAGAGGGGGACCUUCGGGCCUCUUGCCAUCAGAUGUGCCCAGAUGGGAUUAGCUAGUAGGUGGGGUAAUGGCUCACCUAGGCGACGAUCCCUAGCUGGUCUGAGAGGAUGACCAGCCACACUGGAACUGAGACACGGUCCAGACUCCUACGGGAGGCAGCAGUGGGGAAUAUUGCACAAUGGGCGCAAGCCUGAUGCAGCCAUGCCGCGUGUGUGAAGAAGGCCUUCGGGUUGUAAAGCACUUUCAGCGAGGAGGAAGGUGGUGAACUUAAUACGUUCACCAAUUGACGUUACUCGCAGAAGAAGCACCGGCUAACUCCGUG